rnacentral:rRNA from 1 species
UACGAAGGGAGCGAGCGUUGUUCGGAAUCACUGGGCUUAAAGCGUGCGUAGGUGGAUUGGUAAGUAAGGAGUGAAAUCCCAGGGCUUAACCCUGGAACUGCUCUUUAGACUGCCUGUCUGGAAUUCGGAAGAGGUUGGUGGAACUCCCAGUGUAGAGGUGAAAUUCGCAGAUAUUGGGAAGAACACCGGUGGCGAAGGCGGCUCACUGGACCGGCAUUGACGCUGAGGUGCGAAAGCGUGGGGAGCAAACAGG